GAUGAACGCUGGCGGCGUGCCUAAUACAUGCAAGUCGAGCGAACAGAUGAGGAGCUUGCUCCUCUGACGUUAGCGGCGGACGGGUGAGUCACACGUGGAUAACCUACCUAUAAGACUGGGAUAACUUCGGGAAACCGGAGCUAAUACCGGAUAAUAUAUUGAACCGCAUGGUUCAAUAGUGAAAGACGGUUUUGCUGUCACUUAUAGAUGGAUCCGCGCCGCAUUAGCUAGUUGGUAAGGUAACGGCUUACCAAGGCAACGAUGCGUAGCCGACCUGAGAGGGUGAUCGGCCACACUGGAACUGAGACACGGUCCAGACUCCUACGGGAGGCAGCAGUAGGGAAUCUUCCGCAAUGGGCGAAAGCCUGACGGAGCAACGCCGCGUGAGUGAUGAAGGUCUUCGGAUCGUAGAACUCUGUUAUUAGGGAAGAAGAAAUGUGUAAGUAACUAUGCACGUCUUGACGGUACCUAAUCAGAAAGCCACGGCUAACUGCGUG
rnacentral:rRNA from 1 species